rnacentral:rRNA from 1 species
GACAGAGGUUGCAAACGUUGUUCGGAAUCACUGGGCAUAAAGCGCACGUAGGCGGUCUGUUAAGUCAGGUGUGAAAGCCCCCGGCUCAACCGGGGAACAGCAUUUGAUACUGGCAGACUCGAGGAUGGUAGGGGUGAGUGGAACUCCAGGUGGAGCGGUGAAAUGCGUAGAUAUCAAGAGGAACACCUGAGGUGAAGACGGGUUGCUGGGCCAACACUGACGCUGAUGCGCGAAAGCCAGGGGAGCAAACGGG